rnacentral:SRP_RNA from 1 species
CAACCCGGUCAGGUCCGGAAGGAAGCAGCCGUAACGAGUUUAGCUUGGGUCGUGACCAGCCUGCACCGA